rnacentral:lncRNA from 1 species
UCGGGAGUGCCUGAAAUAAGAAGAGAGUAAUCUAUGACAGGAAUGGAUCCUUCUGGGACACAAAUUACCUGGUCAUGGAGAUCAGGAGUGAAGGUGUGAGUGGCGGGGAUGGAGGUGAGACCAGGAGAUUCAGCUAACGUUUUGAUGCUUGUUAUCUUGGUAGGUUGACUAGGAAAUGCUUGGGAGGGAAGAAGGGAAGCUGUUUCAGCUGCCAUUGAGAGAGGGAUAGGAAGUGAGAGAGAGCUGAAUGAUUUGGAUGGGGGUAUGCACACUCAUCUAAUUAAGGCAAUAUGAUAAGUAUCAUUUUUGUAUAUGGACAAAGGACUUGCUUGUCCGGUGGCUUCACGUCAACUGGCAAUUUUCAAGCUUUGUUUCUCUGUUCUUUCAUCAACAAGGACAAGGACAAGGUUGUCCCACAGUUGGUAAUUUGCAAAUUUGUUUAAGAGAUGGUGGAGGCCCACAGUUGUGGACUAAAGGAACUUUUAUAAUUAGUAAUAUCUUCUGUUUUUUUUAAUGUUAAAUUAUAUUUUUUAAAUUUUUUUUUAUUUUUUUAAAGGGUUUUAAAUUAAUAUUUUUUAGUGUUUUUUUAUUAUUUUGACAUGUUAAUAUAUAAAAAAAAUUAUUUUAAUAUAUUUUCAAGAAAAUUUUUUUUUAAAAAGCAACGUCUAACACAUUUACAAAUAAACUCUUUAGGUAUUUUUCAAAAGUGUGUUUGUUUUUUUAAAAAUAUUAAAUUGAUUUUUUUAGUUUUUUUUUAUAAUUUUAAUAUACUAAUAUUAAAAAUAAAAAAAUAAAAAAUAUUAUUUAAAUAUAUUUUUAAAUAAAAAAUAUUUUUUAAAAAAUACUUUACACCUUAAUACUAAACAUUUAAAGCAUUGUAAAGAUAUAAAAAACCUCUUAUUUAUUUAUUUAUUAUUAUUAAGAUGCUGCUCGAUACAUUGAACCCAAAUACGAAGAGAAGUGGAUAUUUCUUUGUUCUUUCAUGGAGUGAGAUAUUUAAUAAGUAAAAUUAGAUUAAAUCUUUUAAAGUUUGUUAUAUUUAUAAUAUAGUUUUUUUGUUUUUAACUUUUUUUAAUUUAAUGAUAUGAAAAAAAAAAUGCUUAUAAAAUUGAACACCAACUAAAGAUCUUGAUGUUUGUUUAAGACUACGAUAAACUCAUAAAAAACAAAUCAAAAUAAUUUAUAAAGACCAAAUCAAAAUCAACAUAAUAUUAAAGAAUAAAAUUAAAAAAAAUAAAGCUAAAAAUGAUUCAAUUGGAGGGAAAAUGUAAAAAAAAAAAACAUGACCGCUCCUUCACUAUUUAUAUGGACAGUGAAGGAGUUGGGUUCACCUCAUAGUUUUAGUAGAGCAGAUAACAAAAAUAGAUAUUCAUAAAUUAAGCAUCAACCGAAUAACAAAAUGUUUGUUUGAAUAACAAAAUGUUUGUUUGAGAUUAAGAUAAAUCCAUAAAAAACAAACUAAAAAAAUUACAAAGAUCAAUUUAAAAUCAAUAUAAUAUUGAAAAAUAAAAAUAAAAAUAAAAAUGCUAAAAAAAUUCAAUUAAAAGAAAAAAUAUAUAUAAUAGAACUUUUAAAAAAUAUAUAUAAAGAAAUAGAGGUAGCUCUGUCCAUAUGAACAAUGAAAGAGUUGGAUUCUCCCAAAUUAUUUUAGUAGAGUUGGUAAUAUGUCCUGUCAAAUAUGUGUCUUAGUAACUAUAAUUUUAACUUCUAAAAUAAUUAUUUUUUAUGUUCUUUUCAAAAUAAUAAUAAGAUGAAAAUGGACUAAAAACAAAUUAAAGCUAUGUUUUGAGAAAUUUGUUUUAUCUUAAAUUGGUUCAAGUCUAUACUUUAAAAUAUAUAUUUUCUUAUAUAAUAUAUUUUAAAGGAUCUAACUUGCCAUAUCUAUAAUUACCACAUUUUUUAGUUCUUCGUACAUACCUUUAAUUGUGAAGUUAUUUAAUCAUAAAACAAUAAUGCAAUACUAGUAAUAAUAUAUGAUUUAUAGUACAUUAUUUUUGGUACCAUUAAAAUUUAGGAUUAUUAUUCAUUAAGUAACUUAUACAUAAAAUUCUCAAUAUCUACCAAUUCCAGUUUGUAAUGAAAAAAAAAUUAUGACUUGUAUAUUAAGAAAAUGAAGUCAUAGUACUUAGGCUUAACUUUUCUUUCUUGUAUGUCCUUUUUUUUUCAUAAAAAAUUAAAAAAUAUACAUUUUAAUAAUUAUUUUUAUUUUUAGAAAAAAAUUUAUUAAAGUCGUGAAAGAAUUUUUUAUUUCAAUUUCAAUUGUUUUUCUUUUUGGAACUAAUUUCAGGGCGUUUUGGGUUGAGAAAUUGGUUUACUGAGGUUUUAAAGGUGUUUUUUAGAACUCAUCAUAAAUAAUUUUCUUUUUCUAUUUAUUUAUUUGGUGACUUUCAUGUGAGGGUUUAAAAACUAGUUUUAAAAUAUUAUUAAACCCAACCAGAUCCAUAACAAGUGAUAAAUUUGACAGGUUAACCUAGAUUUCUUUGGUCGAUACAAGAUGUCGUUAUCUCAAUAUUAAAAAAACAAUUGCACCUUGAGUUUUAAGUCAACCCGGUUUUGAUUGGAUUGUUUGAGUCGUCUUUAGACCCACCAAGUUUACCAAAUCACAUAGAGUUAACCCUCACAAAGUUUAAUUUAAAAUUUAGGAGAUGCAAAGAGCUGAGUUGAGAGAUUUUUAGAUUGACAUGCUAAACUGAGUUCAAUGACACCGCAAAAGAGUUCUCCAUGAUAAUGCACGAGUGUUGGAUGUUCGAAUUUUUUUAAUAAACUCACAUCAUAAUUAUCAUAUUGUUAUUUUUUUAAAAUUAAUGUUAAAAAGUUGUUAAGCAAGUUCUAAUAAUACAAAGACAAAGAUCUUGAGCUCACAAUUAAAAUGCUACAUGUUAAUAAAUGUUAAAUAGAGUUUUGAUAAAAAAAAAUCUCUAAUCUUGAAUUUAUAAUAAUAAAAAAUUUCUUGCUAAUAAAAAACAAGAGAAUAACAUCUAAAAAACUUCUCUUUUAUGUUCAAAUAUUUCUUGAUUUGACUCACGUUGAAGUGCAUGCCAAUCAAUAAUCUAGUAUUUAACUAUAAGUCAAAAAUCAAAAUUUAUUUUUCUAUUGUUAUGACAGUAUUUUAAAUAAAAAAUAUGUUUGAGAAAAAAAUGAAAGCCUUUUAUUUUAAAUAAUGAAUAUAAUAUGUGUUAUAAUUAAUAAAAUAAACUAUAAAUUAAAUCUUAGUUAAACCAAAAAUUUAUUAAUUUAAUAUUUUUAAAGCCAAAUACACUUUUAAAAUACAAAUAAAAUAUUUUAAAAGAAGGUACUCGACAAAAGAUUCUGGAAGUUCAUGGAUUAUUGUUUUAAUGGAUACUGACUUGAAUUUUGGGUACCAUUCCUGAAUCUGGCAACAAUUCACAUCUUCUUCCUUCAUUGUCCCUGGUUUAAUUGCUUCUCCUGCUAUCUGGUAUAGAACAAGAUAUGCACAUCAUUAGCAACUAUCAUAUAUUAUUUCAUCAUAUAUUCUGUUCUUUCAACUCAAUCUACUAAUAGAUGGGAUUGCUUGACUCUUUCAAGGUCAAUUUUGAAGAAAAUGAUGUGAUCAACCACCAGUUCAUGGUUGUGUUCCCACAGAAAUCAUGCAACAAUUCUCCUUUUGUUGUGUUUCCAUUCCAUAAACGAUAAAAUCAUGUUAAACUAAAAUUCUUUGCGUAUCCCUUGUCAAAGCCUUCACUAUGGCACCUAACAUAAACAAGCAGCUUUCAUGUAGCAAAAAAAUAGGAGCCAAGGAACUAAUCUCAUAUAAAACUCAGAAUCUACAGAAGAAUGAACGUUAAAAAACUAGACCUAACAGUUAGCAGCAUGUGCGCUCAUGACAAGGUGAAAAGAUUUCCAUACAAAAAUUACUAAAUUUGGUCCCAACUAUUUUUACAGGUUGCAUAUAUUGCAAUAUCCAUCAUCAACGUAUCUUUGAAUUCCCAGGCUCCAGCAAUAGAAACUUAUAUCCACAGAAGCUAUUCAACUGCAUAGACCGUUUUCAAUCCAAAAAUACAGGAAAAAUCACAAUACUUCGAGAGCUGAUAUACGCGGAUUUGACACUCCUAGAGGACAUGUAAUAGGUGUUAUACCAACCUGACAUUUCCCAGCAUAUGUACUACUAAGAGUCACCAAUUCAAUUGGCAGUUCAAAGGAUUCAAGAAACAUAUUAUAGCAACAUCCUGAAAACUGCUUGAAGCAAUUCCUUAUGAGCUGAUAGAUAGAUUCUAACAAAGUGCUAGUAUUGGACUUGAAUCAAUAACAGGUAUCAUCAUGAAGUGAAUGCCAACUAAACUAUAAUGCAGACACCAUAAACAUCUCAAUGUAAGUUUCAUGCAAUAUCAACAGUGCAAGAACUCAAUAUCAAAACACAACAGAUAUUUUAGUAAUCCCAUCAAGAUUUUUUCUACAAUUUCUACACUUUAAAGCACACAAUCAUUUUCUGUGGGAAACAUUCAUAUAACCAAGAUGAUACUCCAGCCAUGACUUACCAACACUAAAUAUCUUUGCUCGUUCAAAGAAGAAUUAGACAGAAAAUGAAUAGCCCACAUGAGAGAAACAUCAAACCUGAAAGCAUAAAAUCCUAAUAAAACUUAAGCAUGUUGUAGAAAUCUGCAAAGACUCGAACUUUACACAAACAUGUUGAAAUUCAACAAGCAAAAUCUGUCUUAAAUAGAAAACCCAGAAGAGUUACAGUGAUUCUCGUUCUUACUUGUGUAUAAUGUUGUGAUUUUGGAGAAACUGAGGUGAGGAAGAGAGUUUUGCGUGGCGAAAGGCUAGUGCUUUAUUAGUUUUUCAGAAGGAGCUGUGAUUUUUUACAGCAGAAGAAAGGCGGGGAUUUUAGCAGGUGGUAGUGUUGGGAAUUGAGAGCAAUUACCAAGGAUAAAAUAGGAAACCAGGUAGCGAAGUCGUAACCGACAUGCCGUUUAUAUCAACUGAAGUAAACUACAUGUAGUUCCCUGUUUGUUUAAAUUGCUUUUCUGUAAACUACAUGUCAUUCAUUCAAAAUUUGCUUACAGCCUCUCCCACUCUAAGUUAUUUCCUCUCCUCGUAUAAUACUAUUUUUUUUAAUCUAUAUUUUUCUUUACAAUUUCAAUUUCAUCAUAUUUUUUAGGGUUUAGAUUUAUUGUAGAUUAAACUUUAUAAUUUUCUCAAUUUAUUUUUUAUGAGGAUAUUUCAUACUUAUGACCACCACCAUAUGUUUAACUAAUUAACAUGAUUUUUUUUCUUUUUCUAAUUGAAUUUUUUUUUUCAAUUUCAUCUUUCAAUAUUGGCUCAAUUAAAAAUUAGACUUUAUAAUUUAUUUCGGUCUUGUUUCUAACCCAUCUCAUGACUUAAGUCACGAGUGAGUUAAUAUUUAAAGUUAAUUUCGUUUAGUAGGAUGACUCUUCUUAAUACUGUAACAUGGACAAGAUCAAGUGUAACAUGUCUCUUCUUUUACAUCAAACAAUUAUAUUAUUAUUAAAAACUCUAAAUAACGUGGGAAAACUAUUGUACAUGUUCAUUGUAGAUUAAGACACAAUCUAUUGUGUACCGUGGAUUUUCUUAUUUUCAAAGGCUUGGGGUGGGGGUGUUUUUUUCUUUUCAUAGAAAGUAACAUUCUCAUUCUGCCCUAUGAUUGAAAAAAAAUAGAAGUCUUUGAUUUAAGGAUAUUUGGUCUUUUUUAUAUGCUUAUUAGUAAUUAAAGGAUUGGACGGGAAUAUGUUAGUCUUUUUUAAUUUUAAUUGUACAAUAAAAAAAACUAUUAAACUUGUUGACCAGUAACUUUUUUUACAUCUCACAAUCUUUUGAAUAGCAAAAAAAAACUUCUUUACCCUGAAGGUAAAAAAUUAUUGAGCUGUUGCCAAGGGUAUUUUAGGGUUUUCACUUCUUAAGCUAUAGAAAAAAUAUGCAUUUACCCUUAGAAAAGACAAAAGGUCAUUUAUGCAUUGAGGGGUGUUUUAAUACUUUCACAUUUAUUUAUUUGUUAUUUCCAGGUUAAUGAGUGGCGUUUUAAUAAUUUUCCAUUGAUUUUUAUUUUAUUUUUUUAUUUGAAAAAGUGCUAGCACGUGUGGUUAUGCGCUAUCGCGUUGGUGGCGUCCACGCUCUUUAGGUGGCGCGUGCGAUGGCACUAGUUGUCUAAACCUAGUCUUCCACCAUCUCUAGAAGCGCCACCGUGUCCCCUUUCUCCUGGUAUAGUGCGUGAUGGUGUUUGAUUGAUAGUUUAUUGUUGGUUAGCAUUUCUUUUUUUUCUUCCUUCUUGUCUCUAUCUCCUAGAGUAAGUACAUGUCUGUCCUCCUUUCCUUUUCUUCUUUUUUCAAUUCCAAUCUUUAUAUUUUAGAUGACUUAAUUUUGUUUUUGGCCCUUUUAUAAAAGUUUUUUAUAAUUUCAAUUCAGUCCUUAAAUUACAAUUUGUUAUAUAUUAUUUUUUUUUCAAUUCGAUCCUUCUAUUUUUCUUAUUUUGACCCUUGACUCUUUUGUUGGAGUUUUAUUGGUUUUCAAUUUUGUCAUUCAAUUAACAUUUAUGUUUUUUUUUUAAUUUAGCUCUCAUUCUUUUUAUUUUUUUUUGUUGAAGUUUUUUUUCAAUUUAACCCUCCAAUUUAAUUUUUUUAAAUGCCCUCAUUUUUUUUUAAUUUCAGUUUUUACCCUUAUUCUCUUGAUUUUUUUUAUGUGAUCGAUUUUUUUCUCGAUUACAUCAUUUGGUGUUUGAUUUGUUCGAGAUUAGGUUUUGUCAUUUUCCUAUUUUUCAUGCUUUCAAUUUAAUCAUACAGGUCACAAGUUUUAAGUGUUAAUACGAUUAUAAAUCCUUUUUUCUCUCAUUUUCUUUUAUAAUUUUAUCAUUCUACAUUAUUUGUUUUUGAAAAAAAGGUUUUAUGGUUAUCUUUAAUUUAUAUUCAAUCAGUUUGUCUUAAUCUCAUUACUUAGACCACGGGUUUUGCAAGUCUUUAUUGAAUAAUAUUUUUUUUGUAAUUAAUUUUUGGAGAUUUUUUAUUCUAUUGUUUUUAAUUUAUUUUAUACAAAUAAGUUUUGUUUUGUAAAAAAAUAGUUAUUUUGAAAUAAUAUAUCAAAUAUGUCCAGGCAUGGAUAUUUUUCUCCUUUUUAUUUUAUUAACUCAAUUUCAUAUGUUUUUUUAUUUCUAUUAUCUUUGAUUGCUUUUAAUAAACAAGUUCAAUGGAUAUAAACAAGUAAAUUAUCUUGAUCUAUAUCCAUCUCUUAAUUUUUCUACUUUCUCUUUUAGUUAUUAUUAACAAUUUUAUUUAUUUAUUUGCAUAGAUUAUUAUUAGAUGUUUGGAUAAACUUUUUUAUUUUCACUUUAUAAUUCUUUUUAUGUAAAAAAAAAAAACAUAUCAAAAUAGCCUUGAGACUCAAGUGUUUUUCUUUUAAAACUCAAUUAGAACUCACUACGGAGCACAUGUUAGAUCAAACUUUUAUUUCACUCUAAUUGUUUUUUUUUUCACCCUUAUUUUUGUUAGAUGCUUUUUUUUUUCAUGUAAUCAUCUUUUGAACAUUUAAUUUGUUGGGGAUUCGGCUUCAUAUGAUCUUAUUGUUUUGUAGUUUUUUUUUUUAUAAAAAUAUUGAUAUGGUGAUUAUCUUCAAUUUCUUUUCUAUGAGUUUAUCCCGAUCCCAUGAUCCAUGUCACGGGUUUUGCAUGCCAUUUUUAAUAUAAGGGUUUUUUAGAAUCGUUUUAUUUGUGUUUGAUUUUUCAAGAUAUUAUUCUAAUUCAUUUGUAAUUUUUUUUAUUUAUACAAAUAAAUUUUAUUUUUCAAAAUAUAAAAUAUUCAUUUUAAAUAACAUUGUUGAUUUGUUUGCCCUUGCAUUUUUUUUUAUAGGACAUGAGUGUAUUCAGUCAUUUUCAUUUGUGUUUAUUUUUUAGGUCGUGAGUUUUUUAGGAUGUGGAUAUAUCUUUUAUUAAUUAAGUAAAUAAUCAAGUGAAUGUCUUAUUUUGUGUGAUUGAAUACCUUGAUCUACAUUCAUCUCUUAAUUUUCUCACUUUCGUUUUUUGGUUAUUGUCAAUGAUUUUUUCUCAUUUAUUUACACAAAUUAUUAUCAAUUUAUUUAGUUAGAUACUUGUAUUGGCUUUUCAAUUUAUACUUUAUUUUUUUAUGUUGAAAAACACAUUGAAAAUUUUAGGUAGCAUUUAAUUAUUAUCUUGUGCUAAAAUAAACAAAAAUGUGUUUAGUUGAAGAGAUAAAAAUAUAAAAAUAAAUUUUUUUCUUGAUAAUUUUGGAGUGAGUUUCUAUACUUCCAAAACAUGAGAUAUAAAAAGGCAUAUCUUCUAAGACAAUGUUUUUUGUUUUUUAUUCAUAAAAUAUUAUUGUAAAAAACUCUCAAUUCUAAAAUUAUCAAUCUAAGAUAUGUAUAGAUCAAAAUGAUUAUUAUCAUAGUUUUAAAACUUAACUUGGAGGUCGAUUCGGAGCAAGACCUGGAUCACGGGUAGGGAGGGUCAUCUUGGAUUGAUUUGGAUCAACAUAAAAAUCAUUAUUAUAAUUUUAAAAUCCGACUAGGGGCCGACCCAGGGCAAAGGCUAGGUCACAAAUCUAGAGAGUUAACUCGUGUUGACUAGGUCAAUAUAAGAAUAAAAAUAGUUAUUAUCGUAGUUAUAAAACGCGACUUGAAAAUUGACUCGGGGCAAGUUUUAGGUCACGAGUUGGAAGGGUCAAACAAGGUUGACUCGUGUCAAUGCAUAGAUAAAAGUGAUUGUUUUUAUAAUUUUAAAACUCAAUCUAGGAGUUGAACCAAGACAAGGUCUGGGGCCAAGAGAACAACCCAAAUUGACCCAAAAUCUUCUUUUUUAAAAAAAAAAUAAUCAAAGUAACCUUGUUUUCAUUAUAAAUUUUUUUAAAAAAAAGUAAAUAUGUUUUUGACCCAUGUUUUAUCCCAGAUCGAUCCAGGUUUUUACCAGAUCAGAUCGAGUCAAUCCUUCCUCUAUUUUUUAAAACUUGGACCGGUCAAGGUCCUUGGUCAACCUGUUAGGUCAGUUUAGAUUUUAUAACUAUGAUUAUUAUAAUUUUAUUAAUUAAUUUCAACACUUAAUAUAAAUUAAAAUAAAAAAAAUUAGAGUAAAAAAUAUUUUUUUUUGAUUUUUUUUUUUUGUAUCCCGUAACAAUAACGUAAAUAACGUAGAUGUUACUUCUAUUGUAUGUAUAAUUUCUGUCAGCCACGUUAUCAGAGCUUCUCGAAGAGUUGCUUUGUUAUCAGAGUUCCUGCCAACCUUAGGCUGAUGGAAUUGCUUUGUUAUCAGAGGUUUUUUUUACAUGCACAACCUUGGCAGCCUGAAAAUGUACAUGCACCAUGCGCUGAUAGUGAAAACUAGUUUGUCAUGAAUUGGGAUAGUAACAAUAAGAGAGAGAAGCAAAAACAAAACAUACUAUGAUAAUUUUGAGUUCAAUCAAUCAUGAAUUGCAGGACAUGAUUCAGUGUAUGAACUCCAUGGACAUUGGAUCUUGAUUCAGAGAAAAGUUUGGUUCUUUCUGUUUUUACAAUGAUCAGAUUCUUCCUGGAUAUAACGACACUAAAAGGACCUAUUCGACCUGAAGCUUGUUUCCUGCUUUUGUUCUUCUGGAGAGCUCCCUAGAGGUAAGAAAUGAUGCCCCAGAGAGAUAAAACAAGAGAAAGUCCUUUUUUUGACAUGAAAUUUCUCUCGGUGGAUAACAAACAACAGCUAAAGUCCCUGUCAUUUGCAGCAGGGCAGCCAGUGUAAUAGCAUGCAUGGAACAACGCAAACCAACUGCGGGAAGAAACAUAGCUAUAAGAGGGCACUGCAGACACGAAGCACAUAAUAUUUUGCUUUCCUGAGCUCCACUGUCUACAUAACAAGCAAGAGUGAGAUGGUCUUAAGACCUUAAGACCGACCCACUUCUUAUAUUUUACAAGAAGUCUUUAUUUUGAUUACAAUCACAUUCUUUAUCCAUUCAUUUUCGCAUUCAUGAAAUCACAGAAGUAUCAUUAUUACUUUCAUGGCUUGGUACACACACAGAAGCAGUAGCUAAACUGCUGGAAUUCGAACUCGAUCCAAGCAAGAUUUCCCAUCCAGCUUGUUGCUUUGCUGAAGUUCCAGGUAGUCUUUGUAUUUCAUGCCAACGUAUGCUGCUGGCUCAUUGCCUAUACUGCUCACUAAUAACUCUGGUGCUGGGCUAACGACUGAGUCUAGUGAUGGUCCAUGUGCCAUAGCUAUGGAUAUCCUUGUAGCCUUCCUGUUCACCAUUGCUCGGUGCAGAACACUCUUGUACCUUCCAUUGCUCAAAAUCUAAACAAAAAAACAAGAACUUCACAUUUGUCACAGGAUUAUUAAGCCUUAGGAAUCUUGGAUCGACUCCAAGCCUAAUUGUGAUAAAGGAUAACAUGACCAGGAAGUCAGAAUGCACCUCAAGGUGAUCUCCAGUGUUAACCAGGAAGGAAUUGGGGAGGGCACCGACAUCGACCCAUUUCCCUUUGUGCUGAAUUUGAAGGCCACCAAUUCCAUUUUGGAUUAGGAGUGUCAAAAAUCCAUGAUCUGAAUGAGGGGGCAUGCCCAUUGCAAGCUCUGGCUGUGGACAAGUUGGAUACAAGUUUGCAAUAAAUAUUUGUUUCCCCUGUUCCAAAUUCAGUGCCUUGUCUAUGUAGCUUCCUACCAAUCCCAAACUUUCUGAUAUUCCUUUCAGUAACCCCCUUGCUACUUCUCUAACUCUUUGGGAGUACUCUAAUGAAAUCUCACUGCAUAGAAAAAGAUCCAACCAAAAACUUAAAAUUCUAUAAGAUUAAGAUCCCUCUACUUUAAUCAUGAAUUUUCUCACAAGAUUCUGUCUUAUCUCAAAAGAAAAGGAAUAUCUUUUCACCUUUGAAUUCACUUGAAAGGAACACGCAUUAGAACUAAAAGCUACUAAUGAAGGGGGUGAUGAUCGUUUUAUUUACCUGAGGCCAGCAGGUUUGGUAGGUGAGUAGAACACAGGAUGUACAAAGACCUUGAGAAAAUCCCUCCAAUAGAAAGCCUUUUCCACUGAAACAUUGAAGCUGGUGCCAGACCUUAUUGGGUCCAAUACAUGGUUCCCUUUAAACUCUUGCUUCUCCUCUUCUGGCAGAUCAAAAAAACCUUUACACCCAUCAAGUAUCGAGCUGAGAAGGUUCUCCGGCACCCCAUGAUUGAUCACCUAAUAAUUAAGAAAUAUGAAGGCUGAAAGUUUCUUUUACGUUAUAAAUCAAAGAAAAACAACCUAGUUCUCUUGCUAUGUUUUUCUUUUACUUGUAUUUUUUUACAAAAUACAGAGCAUGGCAUGCACUUGUCAACUAGUUCAGUCCUCAAAGUUGCUGAGAGAGUCAUUCGACAACACGUCAAGCCAUCAAAGAUCAAAUUUCUAUAACAUGAAGAGCUUUACUUGCUACAUGAAAAGAGAUGAGAUAUACCAUGAAGAAGCCCCAGUCCUGACAGGCUCUGCCAAGUUCAUGAACUAUUUUAGACCGUUGAUCGGGAGUGCCUGAAAUAAGAAGAGAGUAAUCUAUGACAGGAAUGGAGCCUUCUGGGACACAAGUUACGUGGUCAUGGAGAUCAGGAGUGAAGGUGUAAGUGGCGGGGAUGGAGGUGAGACCAGGAGAUUCAGCUAACGUUUUGAUGCUUGUUAUCUUGGUAGGUUGACUAGGAAAUGCUUGGGAGGGCAGAAGGGAAGCUGUUUCAGCAGCCAUUGAGAGAGGGAGAGGAAGUGAGAGAGAGCUGAAUGAUUUGGAUGUGGA